UUUACUGCAAUGCAACUGCCUUCGUUGCAUCUCUGGCCAUCAUCAUGCUGCUGGUUAACAGAAAGCUUUCAACAAAGGGGAUACAGUCCUACGCACUCAGGGUGUGCGUGAUCCUUGACCUGGUUGGGCUCAUGGGCGCGUUUGCUGCAGGAAGCUCCAGGAAGGUAUCCACAUCCAUAUAUGUCUUCGUCCUGGUCUUUGCAGUUCUGAUAUGCAUCGCCCUCCAAGUUAUUCUGGUUGUGUCAGAGUCGGUUCAGGGUCUCUUGCAGAGACUCCUGUCCUUCUUUGACGUAACGGAAGACGAAGCCGGUGACAGAUUGCCACAUACAGCUGCUGAUGCAGAGGCAGAAGAUCCCUGGUAUAAGAAGUUGCCCAAAUACUUGUUGCUGCUGGCUGCACUUGCAGCGGCUGUCACUUACCAAGCCGCCAUGAGCCCGCCCGGUGGGCUCUGGGGCGACGGCCAAGCUGGCCACAUAGCUGGUGAUCCGGUUCUUCGGAGCACCUAUCCACGCCGGUACAAGGCCUUCUUCUACUGCAACGCGACUUCCUUCAUGGCCUCUCUGGUGAUUAUGGUUUUGCUCCUGAUCAAAAGAGUGAGCAGCGCACAGUCAGCGAUAUUGGCGCUGCAUGCUGCCAUGAUCCUGGACUUGUUUGGCCUCAUGGGCGCCUAUGCUGCCGGGAGUUGCAGGAGAGUCAGGACAAGUGCUUACAUCUUGGCAUUGGUGGUUGGGGUUUCCACAUACAUAGUUGUUCUUGUUGUUGUGUCCAUAGGUAUUGCAAAAUGGAUGAAAAGAGUCAUGUGUGGGAUGAGAGAACGCCUGAUCCGGUGCUUCUCUGUAGAAGAUUUGUAGAGCCUGAUGCGAAGAAUUUUUAAGGGAAGUCACAGGUGUAAAGGUUGUAGCCUUGUAAUUACUACCUUUGUAAAUUUAGCUUUUGAACAUUAGGCAGGCAUCCAAAUCUAGCAUGUUGUCUUUUAGAGCCAUUGCUGUAAUUUGAGUAAUCCAUUGCGGCAUUUCUUCACAACUCCUUUACUACUGGCGCCUGAAAACUCGAUUCCGUCAGCAGACCAUGUUCCUUGGAACUUUGAAUAAGGAAACAAGAAGGUUGACACUUCUUUGCAACAGACCUGAAUGAAUGAACGCAUUUGAUUAAUAACAGAAUUUGUGGGAUCUAAGUUGCUGAGCUCUGACUGCACGUGUGUAAAAGUAAAGGAAUAUACUAAUUAACUAAGUAGCAGCCACAAAAGGCCCAAUUUACACCGUUUUGUCUAGUGAAAGGGCAAGGAAAACAUCCUUUCCUAAUUUCAAUAACAGAAACUCGUAAAACAUCCAUCAAAAGUCUUAUAUAGAAAUAAAAAUCUUCCUGUGAGAGUAAUUACGAUUAAAGAAAGUAAAGUCCUAAGAGAAGAACAAACUAGCAGGUGCACCCACAAACUACCAUCUUUUCAGCUGAUAAUGGCUAGCAGAUGCUACUGCACAUGUUACUAUCAGCAUACACAUAACAAUACUAAUUGUAUCACUCAUGAGACAAAUACAACUCUCUCAACAGGAACCACCUCUUAUUUCUGCGUUGGGCUCAAUAAAUGGAAGAACAUAAAGUUUCAAUGGAUACAGCAGUUUCAAUUUCAAGAAUACAGCUCUCUCAACAGGACCGACUGAGACUGAAAUGGUGAAGGGACAAACUUAAUCCAAAAUGGAUACAGCAGUUUCAACUUUCAAGUAAUACAGCUAUUUUUGUAAUAUCAGUUUAAAUUUCUAAGCAAUAGAAAAUUUCAGAGAUUAUCCAGUAAGAGAACAGAAAGGAAAGACACAUUUGCACAGAGAACACCAUAGUAAAGCAUUCCAAUUCGGGGGUAUCAAACCAUAAAAAGUGUGCUCACCUGUAUUUCUCAGUGACUCACAAUAAUAGGUCCUCCGCCAGCGGCGCGUACCGGAACAGGACGGCCUCCUUGUGCAGGGCAUCGCCGGGCACGAGGCGCCGCAGCCUAGGAGCAGCAGAGCGUAGCCCGCGUAGUUGCGGCGGUACGCGUCGGAGGAUACCGGCGAGGGGGCGGAGGAGGGGAAGGACGUGGAUGGUGGGGAUGCCGCGGCAGCGGCGGCGACGGCGACGGCGACGGCGACGGCGAGAGUCGUGCCGUAAGGCGCAGCGGCGAGGCGGGGGUGAGUUGUUGGGCUCAUAGCCCAUACGAUCCCCGUGGCCCGCUGGACUCCUGUCAUCAGGCCCAUGAGUGAGUUAUUAUAAAAGGAUUUGAGCGUGCCGGACCGCUGCAAGUAAUUCUUGCGUUGUUUGGUUUAGUUAACACCGUAUACGGUGGAGCAAUAGAAUUACGGCCCAGUUUAAACACUAAGAGCAUCUCCAAUUGUUUGGAAAAAUCAACUUGGAAAAGUUUGUCAUUUGGCAACUUGCUAAACCUUUUGGCAAGUGAAUUUUUCUUGUAUCUCCAAUUGUUUGGUAAAUGGGGCUUGGUAAACAUAAAAAGUAGGCCCACAUAUACCUGUCCACCAACAGAAACGCUACGGCCGAUCUCCUCCGGUUCGCGCGACCCUGAGAGGCAUCGCUGCCUGCCGCACGCCGCCCUGCGCCCCUGCGCCGAGAGGCAUCGCUGCCUGCCGCACGCCGACGAUCACCUCCGACGAAGGCUGCCAGGUCUGCCGCCUCAGGUGCCUGUUUUUCUCCACAAGGCGCCCCUGAUUCGUUCGGUCAGCUUGAUUUAUGUACUGCUGUUCAUAGGAUUUAUGGCUACCAAGAGAACCCUUCUUCAAAGACAGUUGGAUGAUUCAUCAUCCGAUGAUGAUGAUGAGUUGGAGAUCGUAGCGGCUGCUGCAAUUGUGAACAACUUUGUCAAUGUUAAGAAGAAACACGGUGGCUCUGUCAAAGGCCGUAGAUUUCUUCGUCGUGAUAGAGAAGGCGGGCAUGAGAGGAUGUUUCAAGAUUAUUUGACGGUGAAUCCAACAUAUGGCCUUGAAAUAUUUCGUCGAAGGUUGAUGCUAAUUCACUUUGGAUGAAAUUGUUUUAUGUGUUUUAAAAAUAAUGAUUGUGUUAAACUGAGUUUUUAUUUAUUUUUUUCAGGUAUAGGAUGUCUAGGGAGCUUUUCGUACGCAUAAUGAAUGCCGUAGAAGCACACGAUGAUUACUUUGUGCAGAAAAGGAACGCGGCCAAUGUACUUGGUUUGUCUUGCUUCCAAAAAAUCACGGCCGCAAUGCGUAUGAUGACUUAUGGGGUUCCUGCUGAUGCGACAGAUGAGUACGUUCGCAUCGGUGAAAGUACAGCACUAGAGAGUUUGCGAAGGUUUGUUGAAGCAGUUGAUGAAAUAUUUGGAGAAGAAUAUCUCAGAUAUCCCAAUGAGGCAGACACCGCGCGAUUACUUGCAAUUGGUGAGCAAAAAGGUUUUCCAGGAAUGCUAGGGUCAAUAGAUUGUAUGCAUUGGGCAUGGAAGAACUAUCCGUAUGAGAAACAGGGUCAAUACAAGGGUCAUGUGGAGAAACCAACUAUCAUUUUGGAGGCUGUUGCUUCGGACGACCUUUGGAUAUGGCAUGCUUUCUUUGGGAUGCCAGGGUCUCAUAACGAUAUCAAUGUUCUUCAUAGGUCUCCUUUGUUUGAUAAUUUGGCAGAAGGUAGAGCUCCAAAAGUCAAUUUUUCAGUUAAUGGCCACGAUUACUCAAUGGGGUACUAUCUUGCAGAUGGCAUAUACCCCACAUGGGCUACAUUAGUGAAGUCCAUCACUGCUCCUAUGGGGAACAAGAGGCAAUAUUUUGCAAAAGCACAAGAAGCAGCCAGGAAGAUGGUUGAGAGAGCAUUUGGAGUCCUUCAAUCUAGAUAUGCCAUUGUUCGAGGGCCGGGUCGCAUGUGGGAUAUUGAAACAUUAUCAAAAAUUAUGAGAGCUUGUGUGAUUAUGUACAACAUGAUUGUCGAAGACGAAGGAUUCGUUGUUGAUCCUAACGAGCGUUUUGAGUACGGCGGUCAAAAUGUGGAGCCCGAACAUGGAAAGCCUACUCGUUCGCUUGAGGAAUACAUUGAAGCUCAAAGGAAGAUCAGAGACAAAGACACAUAUGUGCAAUUGAAAGAAGACCUCAUCGAACAUCUGUGGAACAAUCAUCCAGAUUUAUACUCGUAUAAUAUAUGAUAUAGUUAUCCACACAUUUAUAUUUCAUCCAUACAUUUUAAUUUAUAUUUCAUCCAUACAUUUUAAUUUAUAUUUCGUCCAUACAUUUAAAAUUUAUCUAUUUGUUCACUACAUCUAUGCAAAAUCUGUCUUAUCGAAUGAGCAAUCAUGAGCUGCAGCAAAUUUGUCGCCUAGAACCAAUCAUAAGCAGCAGCACCAAUCAUGAGCAGCAGAAGCAAUCAUCAAGCGCUGCAGGCAAUCUUCAGCAGCAGAUUCAGUCGCCAGCAGCAGCAGAUUCAGUCGCCAGCAGCAGGAGCAAUCAGUCGCCAGCAGCAGAACAUGCAGCAGCAGCAGCAGCAGCAGAACCAAUCAGCUUCUCCUGAACCAUGCAGCAGCAUUUCAGCAUCACGCCAUGCAGCAGCAAUUUACCAGCAAACACAUAAAAUAAAGAUGAUGGUUCCAACACAGUUUCUUCAUUAAUUCAGAAAACUUAAUCCACCACACACAUAACUGAAACAUUUAAACUAAAUUUAAGAUAACUUGAUCUACCACACACAUAAUUGAUCCAGCACACACAUCAUGAGAACUAAACUUAAGAUAACACGAAGUAAAAUUAAUUAGGAAGCUCCUUCUCCAUGAUCUUCUUUUGCAUCUUCUCAAUCCAUUGGCGCUGCAUAGGGUUGAGAGAGGACAAGUCAGCCAACAUAAUUUCUUUUUCCUCUUUGAGAAGCUUAGCUUCUACAAUCUUUUCUUCAUUGGCUACCCUCUUCUUCUCUAGCUCUAGUGUAGCCAGGAACCUCUCCUCCUUGGCCUUUUCCUUUUCCUUGUCCAAGACCUCUUUCUUUGCCAUCAUCUUAUCCAAAGCUUCCAUGCAAGCCUCACCACCACCACGUCUAAGGUUUUGUUUUGCCUUCUUUAUCCCUUCUGGCCUUUUCUUUGCUGUCGUUUCUUCAUCAACAACAUCUUCAAGUUCAUUAUUUUAAGUCUCUUCUUCCCCCCUAGGCCUCUUGUCCUUGGUGGGAUUCUUCUUCUUUUUUUGGGAAGCUUGUUUGUCUUUCUCAAGCUCAGCAAGCUCUUUCAUCUUCGCUUUCCACUUGUCUUCCCCCUUCAAUAUAUUCCAACAAUGCUCCAGACCAAAACUUUUCUUGUCUUUGUCCAAUUCGAUGUAGUAUUUUUUUGCUGCAACAACCUGAACAUAUAAUCACACGUCAAAUAAAUAAUCAAAAUUUAAAUACCUAGACACUUACAAAUAAGCACAACAUAAUCACAUAAUUAUAAUGAAUAUACCUUGUCCUCAAUGGUUGUCCCACUUUGAUUCCUACGUAGAAUGGCCUCAUAGCAUGAGCAAAAUUUGUUAACUUGCAACUGAAUUGCCAACCACCUAUGCAUAAUCGAGCUCUCUGUCCUCACAGUGCCCAUCUCAUUAUUCUCUUCAAAGUAUGCGUGAACUCUUCCCCAAAAGGUUGAUUUCGAUUGAUUGGCACCGUUAAUAGGAUCUUUGCUAACAUUCAACCAUCCCGAGCAUACAACUUCAUCUUCCCUGUAAUGAAAAUUCUUCUUCCUGUGCCCCUUUGUGACAGGGGUUGGAGAUACUUCGUCCUGAGAAUCAGUUUCUUGCGUCACUCCAAAAUCCAAAUCCUCCAAAGCAGCAAUACCAUUAACAUCUCCACUCAUCAAAAUGCCUGACAAAAAGUUUUCCUGUCCUUGCAUCUCCAUAUCUAUACAGAAAAAAUUACAAAAAAUAAUACAAGGAUGAUUCAUCUAUGCAAUAUUCAUGAUUGGCUGAAAUAAAAAAUCAUGAUUGCCAAGAACUCAAGAACGGGAUGGAUGGAUCUUAACUGCUUCUGCAAGACGACGCCGCCGCCGUCCAGCACCCACCUCAAAGGACACAGGCGCGGCCUGAUGAACACAGGCGAUGGAGGGCACCGGAACACAGCUAGGCGCAGCCGGAACGGAGGGAUAGAGAGCACUGGAACACAGGCGAUGAAGACGAAGGAGCCGAUUACCAAGGACACCGCAAGACGGAGGGAUGUAGGCCACCGGAUCACAGGCGCGGCCGCCGGACGAUGAAGACCGACGAUGGCGCGCGGAGGCGAUGACGAAGGUUGGCGAUGAAGGAUCGGGCGAGGGCACUUUCAGGUUCGACGCGGGAGAAGUGGCGGCGCGGGUAAAACUCCCUCGCGGCUCGGGAUUCCAAGCGACGCCGAGUGCGGAUACAUCCGCGCGCGACCCCGGCGUUUUCCAAGUUGCAAAAAGAUAGCAAGUCCUAUUCCAAACUGUUGGAGAAGAAUUUUUCUUCUUUUUCCAAAUAAACAAGGAUAGCAAGUUAUUUUUCCAAACAAUUGGAGAUGCUCUAAGGGGGUGUUUAAUUCCACCAUAAAAUCCAAAAUACAAAACAUCAACUACUUUGGAGUGAUGAAAUGUAAAAUAUCAAAAAAAACUUAGGUCGUGUUUAGUUUCAUCUAAUACAGAUACAGAAUUUAUUGCCCUCAUGAGAGGCUCUUUUUGGUUUUUUUGGCCUAUUAAGGCCAAAAUCUAAAAUAGAGAAUAACCAUCUUUUUGUCAAAAAAUUUGCAUAGUAUUUAGUUCCUUUAUGCAAAAUAAUAGAUCAAAACCCAUUUUUUUUGGAAAAAAAGAGAACUAAACACCCCCUAAGCAGGCAACGUUGUGGACAUGCAAAUUCCCCAUGUGUUGCCAUGGCAUUUGGAAAGAAAUUAGAACCAUAGGGAUUAAAGAGGUUGAUGAUGGAGAGUGGAGUAAUUAUUUGAAAAAAAAAGAGAUUUCAUAGUAGUUGGACAUGUAAAUGCAAGUAAUUUGUUUCAUCUCAUUAUAGUUACCAUGUACCUUGAGCAAAGAUACCUAUACCUCUAAUAACACAAUGCAUAUACUGCACAAUAUACAUGUAUGUUGAAAAGUAUUGUUCGCUGAAACACUGUACAAUGGCUAAUAAGUUCAAGCGAACAGGGCUGAAAACACUGUACAAUAAAUGAUAAGUUCAAGCGAAUAAGAAUAUGUCAACGAAUAAUAAGCAUCUUAUGCAUAUAUGCAUAUGUAUAACUUUGUUCAUUAUGAUUUUAUUGGGUUAGAGCAUUUCUAACAAGGACCGUGGACUCAAUCCAACAUGCCCCUGUUCGAACUUCAAGUCCCCAUUUUACAAAGGCCUCCAAAUCUUCCCCCUUAGCCAAGAAUUUCUUUAGUAGAAAAUGUGUAGCUGUAACUGAUUUGGGCUCAUUGUCUGACUAUUGCAAUUGGCAAGUAUGAAGCUUAAGACACUCAACUAGAGCGACUGCAAAAUUAGAGAGAGAGAGAGAGAGAGAGAGAGAGAGAGAGAGAGAGAAACUACAAACUGUUUUCUAGCUUCAGCAAUGGUAUGGAGAGAGAGAGAGAGAAACUACAAAUUGUUGCCAUCCUUGCUAGAUUCUUUUCCAGUUUUCCACACGCGUAUCGCCAUGAAAGCACCACCAUUUUUUUGUCACCGAAAGUGCUUUGAGUUACCAGGAAAAUUACUCCCGUAAGUAGCAGGACAAGUUCCAGACGCGGCGGAUAGCCGCUGUUGAUGCUGACCACGGUCGGCCGGUCGCUACCCUACACCCAUACGAUGUGGACAAAAGGACAUGUGGAAGAUCGGAGAUAGAGUUUACAUCUUUCAUGAUCAAAGAAACACAUCUUUCAUGAUCAAAGAAACAACUGAGCGCUUUGCACCGAUCUGAGCGAGUACAGACGACGCUCGCGGCCAGCAUCACGUCCUUUCAUUACCACUCACAGGGUAUCAGCAGAGACGACGACGAUACAGACACGACUACACGACCCAGACGCGCUCAAAAAUUCUCCACACGGUGUAUCUGUGUAUGAUCCCCACACGGUCGCCAGUUUUCCACACGGCGUGAGCAAGUUUAAUAAUAUAGCCCACUUGCUGGCUGUAUAAUUUCUUGCAGCCUUCUUCCAGCCCACCCAUAGUUAGCUAUUCACUAUUAAUACAUAGCCCACUUCUCCCACUCACAAAGUUUCUUGGUUCGUUGUAAGCUUACAGUCUCUGCUUCUCUUAUCUCUCCUUACUUCUCUCCUCCACCUCAGCAUUUAGCCAACUUACAACCCACUAUAAUACUUACUAAUGGCGUAUCGCCACGAAAGCACCUCCCCAUUCUGGGCUUUGCUGGAGUUGCCAAGAAAAAACACUCCCGUACCAACGCAAGCUCCAGACGCGUAGAGCCGCCGUUGAUUGCUGACCGCGACCGCCCAGAUCCGGCGCCGGCCGGCGGCCACUAACACUCAGCGUCAGCACUUGUAACGCAGCAUUCACCAUUCAUUUCGUUCUUCAGUCUGACGAAAGGGAGAUACUACUAUUUGAGCGAAUAUCCAACCACCAUUGGCAUAGGCCAUAGAAACUGACAAUGGAAGUUUCCUCAAUAACAAGGAACAAUGCCAAUGGAUUUCAUUACAACGAUCUGGACAAAAGAACAUGUAAAUGUAAUGCAUUGCGGCCAAAGAUUGUAUCUACAAAGAAACAACAGAGCACUUGCACUGGGAUCCGGACCGGACGUCCCAAGAAAUUGCAGGAGUAAACAACAGAGUCAAUAGCAAGGUCAAGGCCACGGACGCCAUUGCUAGCUACUAGCUAUUGCCAGUCAGUCACCGUCCUCGAGCUCAGCUACUAUCUUCUCGGAAUGUACCACCACGCAACGACGCGGGUCACCGGUCCUCCACGCGGCGCAGCUUCAUUCUUAAAUCACCGCAGCUUUCCACUGACGUGCUGCUCGUCGUCGGAGCUCUACUUUCCAAGCAAGAAAACAUGCCGCAGUCCCCGAGCUCCAGACGCGGAGAGACGGAGCUCGUUGACGUUGACCCCAACCGGCCAGCUGCUCCGGCGCCGGCCGCUCCUCCUCCCAGAAUGGUCACCACGGCGAGCUUCCUGUGGGAGCUGCGCAAGUACGUGCUGCUGCAGGCCAUGCUGGCGGCCAGCGUCACGUACUCAGCGGGGCUGAGCCCGCCGGGCGGGGUUUGGCCCGACAACAACAACGACAGCUCCAGCGCCGGCGCACGCCUCGCCGGCGACCCGGUGCUCCAGGUCACCUACGCCCGCCGCUACGAGACCUUCUUCUACUUCAACGCCACCGCCUUUGUUGCCUCCAUCGUCACCAUCAACCUCCUCCUCAUGCAAUCGCUCAGCCGCCACCGUGGGUGGCUCCGCGCGCUCCAGGCCGCCAUGAUCCUCGACCAGCUCGGCCUCAUGGGCGCCUAUGCCGCUGGCAGCUGCAGGGAGCUGGCCAUGUCUGCGUACGUUGUCGCCCUCGUGGCCUUGGUCUCCACCUAUGUCUGUGCCCAUGUCCUGCUCUUCGCGCUCUGCGCCCUGAGGAGGCGCGAGGCCGGAGAGGAUGAUGCAAUACCAGACGAAGAGCGUGGGACCACGGAGCGCUCACGCAAGUACCUCCUCAUCUUCGCGACGCUUGUCGCGACAGUGACGUACCAGGCUGGGCUGAGCACGCCGGGCGGGUUCCUGUCGGACAGCCAGGACGACAAUCACCUCGCCGGGGACCCCAUGCUCCGCGGUCACCACCCGGACCGCUUCAUGGGGUUCUUCUACUUCAACACCACGGCGUUCGUGGCGUCUCUGGUGGUCAUCAUGCUGCUCAUGAGCCGGACCGUGACCCAUCACGGGUUCCGCUCAUGCGCCCUCUGGGUGUGCACGGGUGCGGCCUUGAUCGGGCUCACCGGUGCCUUUGCCGUGGGGAGCAGCAGAAGCGUCAAGACAUCCAUCUAUGUCGUUGCCCUGGUGGUCGCUGUUCUAUCGUACAUUGGCCUUCAGAUUCUGGUGUUCUUCUGCAAGCCUGUGGAGAACUGGGUCCAUAACGUCCAAGACACGCUGCAAAGGUAUCUGAGAUUGGACCAGAUCGAGCCACAAGAUCCCCGGGUUCGUGCAGUGCAUGAUCCACAGGAAACCGCCGAGGCUGACCAGCUUCUCCAGAAAUCCCGCAUGUACCUGCUUCUGCUCGGAAUCCUUGCAGCAAGCGUCACAUACCAAGCGGGGCUGAACCCGCCGGGUGGCUUCUGGCAAGCAAAUGCUACUGAUGGUGUUCAUCACUAUCUAGCCGGUGAUCCAGUGCUUCACAACACAUAUCCACGGAGAUAUCUGGUUUUCUUCUACUGCAAUGCCACUGCCUUUGUCGCGUCGUUGGUUAUACUUAUCCUCCUCCUCAGCAACAUAUUCAGCACCCAAGGAAUCAAGUACUGUGCAUUGCAGGUCUCCAUGAUCAUGGACCUUCUUGGGCUGAUUGGCGCCUAUGCUGCCGGAAGUUGCAGGCAAGUGUCCAAAUCUGUGUAUGUCUCCGUGCUUGUCAUUCCAGUGUUCCUGUACGUUGGCAUCCAUGUUAUGGUGUUCAUGUUAGAAGUCUUCCCAAAUAUUGCAACAUGGAGGAAAAAAGUGAGGGACAAGCUGGAGGAAUCUGUGCCCAGAUGGCUCAAGAAGUUGUUUGAGCUGCCGCCAGAGGAAGACGAGAACGUGAAGUGGAAACUGGAGAAGAGGCGCAAGCUUCUGCUGCUCCUUGCCAUUCUUGCAGCCAGCCUCACCUACCAGGCAGGAUUGAGUCCACCUGGCGGCUUCUGGCAAGAGAAUAAGACAGACCAUGUCGUCGGCAACCCAGUGCUCAAUGACAACUACCGACGUCGUUACAUGGCUUUCUUUUACUGCAAUGCAACUGCCUUCGUCUCAUCUCUGGCCAUCAUCAUGCUGCUGGUGAACAGAAAGCUUUCGGCAAGAGGAAUACAAUCGCACGCACUCAGCGUGUGCGUGACCCUUGACCUGGUUGGGCUCAUGGGUGCGUUCGCUGCUGGGAGCUCUAGGAAGGUAUCCACAUCCAUAUAUGUCCUCAUCCUGGUCUUUGCAGUUCUAGUCUGCAUCACCCUCCAAGUUGUUCUGGUUGUGU
rnacentral:lncRNA from 1 species